rnacentral:rRNA from 1 species
UACGGAGGAUCCUAGUGUUAUCCGGAUUUAUUGGGUUUAAAGGGAGCGUAGGCGGGAGGUCAAGUCAGCUGUGAAAUGUAUCUGCUUAACGGGUACACUGCAGUUGAAACUGGUUUUCUUGAGUGCGUAAGAGGCAGGCGGAAUUCGUUGUGUAGCGGUGAAAUGCUUAGAUAUGACGAGGAACUCCUAUUGCAAAGGCAGCUUGCUGGGUCGUUACUGACGCUGAUGCUCGAAGGUGCGGGGAUCAAACAGGAUUAGAUA